AUGAUAUAAAAAAGAAAGAAAAAAUUAAUGCAAAGAGUGCUAUCGUGUGUAUUUUCAUUGUUUUUUGGUAUUUGAAUAUUUUUUUUUUUUCCGAUUCUCUU
rnacentral:ribozyme from 15 species